rnacentral:lncRNA from 1 species
GCUUAAGCUGGUGAUUUGGUAUAGAAGCGGAUGCCGAAGGCCAAUCCCAAGAUUAGCAAGGGAACAAGGAAUUGGAGAAGCUUUAUAACAAAUUCUGAGGUCUUGUCCUGAUCAUAGUGAGGCUGCUUGGGAGGGGUGUACUUUGUCUUGGUGGGGAUCGUUGAUGUAUCGAUGUCACCCACAUAAAACUCAUCCAUCAUUGCUCUAGCUGAGCUACUAUGACCAACAUCCUCAAAAUCAUCAGUUGCAUCCUUCCCUGUCAACCAUACAUCAAAGCAAGGUUAUUUCCAUUUUUCCAUCUUCUACAAUAAUUCCAGCAUUAGAUUAUACAAAAUAAGUAAAAAAAAUUAGGUAUUUGUUAUACCUGUGGCAGACAACAAGACCUCAUCACCACCAGGAUGGUCCUCCAAGAAUUUAGUCACAUUGAAGACCUGUUCAAACAUAAGAUUGGAAUUUAAGGAGUUCAAAGUGGAAUAUAAAGCAAUGGUUCCAAAUCAAAAUCAAGUUGGCUCUAGAGUAAAAUUAGCAAUCAAAUUAAUGGUAGAUUGAUAUCUAAAGCUGAACCCUGCUUCAUGUUACCACAAGUUCAAAUAGAAUUCAACCCCAUAAAUUUUGUUCUUACAACCAAUGUAUUGCUGAUGACAGGUCCUUGAAAUUUAUGAAUAGAAACCAAGUGUUCAUGACAGUUUCUAAAAACUUUUAUUAAAUAAGGAUAAGGGUAAUGUUACUGAUUUCUGAACCUCCAAAAAGAUAAAAGAAUGCUAUAGAUAAUGUUGGUACUAACUGGAAAGAAAUAAAUACAAAAAAUUCAAGUCGUUAGCAUCCAAAAGCCAGCCACUACUGCAGUGAAUAGGAUACUAAAACCGGCGAAAAUCAUUAUUAUAAUGCUUGAAUCAUUCAGCCCACUUAAAGCAGCAUAGCCAAUUUAGAACUCCUCAGAGGAAUGGAAUAAAAGUAUAUCAACAAAAAGAAAACAUUCAUUUUAAAUGUCUAGGACCGACAACUACUCUGCAAAUUGAGGAAAAAAAACACACAACGGCUGAUAUCUUUUAAUUUAAACUGUUACCAACUACCAAGAGAAUACAUUGUACAAAGUACAUCAAGCAGAAUUCAUAAAAAAUAGUGCAUUUAAAUGCGAAACUAAAUCUAAUGACAGUAACGCAGCGCAUCAAUGGUCAGCACCACCAAUCCGGAAUAAGCUAAUGAUUAAACAAAUCCAAGGAACUCAAUAGCAGAGUGUAUAUUCUUGCAUGCAGCCUAGCAAUCAUCCAGAUCAAAAGAAAUUCUGAGAUCUAAGCAAAAUAUUGCUUUUGAUAUGAAGAUGAAUGUCUUGAAUCUGACUUAUCAAUCCGCCAAUAAGAAGAAAAUGAAAUUUUCUUUCAGUUUCAUUUAUCUUUCAUACAGGAGAGAUGGACUAUAAGGAAUCCUAAGCUUCUAGAGACAAGUCAAAUAUGCAGUGAAUAUAAGCUGUCAGCCUCUAAGAGAGAUACACCCACUUGGGUUCAAAAAUUUUUUAUGAUCAGAACCAAAUAAACAAAAAUCAAACAAACAAGAAAAUCACCUAGUAAUCAAAUUAAAAAAAAAAAAAAGGCUUCCCAGAUCUAACAACACUAAAAACUUGCAACUCCAGAAUUAAAUUAAAAUACCCAACUUUUGCAAAAUAUAAACAAAACAAACCAGACCAAAAAGAAAACCCCACAACCCUGGACUGGGUCAAGAUCAAACUGGAUCAUCCGAGAAACUGUACCCAAAAAAGAGGUUCUACCUUGCCCUCAAUGACAAGCCAACAAUCUUUAGCAUUGUUGUGUUGAGAAACCUCAGCCAAAGUAUAGACCUUUCCUUCUCCACCCAUCUUUUUGCUUGUUUGAGGAAGAAAAAGAGCAGAGAUUUGCUGAUCAAACUAAACUAAAGUUUAUUGUAGUUGUCUUGUGGUUAGCAUAGCCGCCGGGCGUUGGGAAUAGAACAAAUAACAAAAACAGUAUAAAUAAGGGAAACUUAGAGAGAGAGGGUUUGGUUGGUAAAGGCCAAAGGAAAAUAUUUUGAUUGGCUGAGGGGUUGGUGAGGACUGAGGGUGAGAUGGUUGUAUCACCAACCACCCCCUUCCCUUUAUGGUAUUGUGAUUUCUUAUUUGAACUUUUUUGUGGAGUUGUUUAUUUUUUUUGGAUUCUGACAUUUUUGUCAUUUUUGUUCCUUCUAAUUCGAAAACAAAAGUUUCUAAGUACAUAACAAAAUUACAACUGUCAAAUUUACAAUUAAUAUGAAUGUUUUCUCCUCGAACAAAUACCAGAACAUGAUCUAACAAAUAACUGCGAUAAAAAUAUGCUUAGUAAAAUUAUGGUGGUAUUACUAAUAUUUUUUUCACUUUUGAAGAAAACAAAGUGAAAUGGGGUAAAUUUUCUCCCUUUUUACACUAUGAUAAAAGUAAGAUUUGGUUUAAAUAUUUUUUACAAUAAUCAGAGAAAAUUAUCAUGUCAGUCAAUUAUAAACUUAAAAUAUAAAAAAAGACAGACACAUUAAUUAUAAAAAAAUAACACACAUAAUAUUUUACUUAUAAUAAUUAGGGUUACGAACCUAUAGUUUAAAUCAUCUUUAGUUUGCAAAACAUAAAAAAUUGAAAAUAUAUAUUUCUAAUUGUAGUUCGAUUCCUUCUAUUUGUAAUCUCAAAAAAGUUUGAGGCUUUGAAUUACAAAAGCGAUUUAAGACACAUUAUUAUAAAAUAAAUUUAUCUAAAAAUUAAAUUGGAUCAAAAUUAAUAGAUCAUUCAAAAAUCUUGUUUAAAGUUCAACUCAACCCAUCAUUUUGAAUAGAAAAGAUUCGAUGUUUUUAAAUACAUUAAAACGUCAAAGUAUGAAAAUAUAAAAAUUUUAUUAUUAUUAAUAUGUUUUAAAAUUAAAAUUAAAUAAAAUUUUUUUAAUAAAACAAAAUUUUGAAUCAAAUUGAGUUUAAAAUUCAAAACUCAUACGCAAGCCCAAUAAAGGAAAAAUUAGGGUGGGAGUUUCAAAAUGAAGAAAAUAUUAGGGCCGUCCUAGUGUCCUUUUCUUCUUGACAUUAGAAUACAACAACUAAGUUCAGAAAGAUUUGUGUUGCUAACUCAUAUAUAAACACAACGAGUGAUCAUAUUCCACCAUUUGUUAGUAUGCGUAGAGGGUUUAGUGCCAAAUUUGUUUGUAGAUGUGUACCCCUUCUUAUUCAAUGAUUUUUUUUUUCUUUUUUUCUAAUACAAACUUCUCUCCUUGUGAUUAUCUUAUCCAAUUUAUUUAUACAAAUAAUAUUGAAGCCAAGAAAUCAUUGUAGGAGGUUGGGCCAUGCAAUUCAACAACCUUAGGCAAAUCAAAGGCGAUUUCCAUCUUUGAUUAUAUGUUUAGAUAGAUAUAUAAAUUAUGGUAUUUAUUUAUUUAAAAAAAGCAAGGGUAAAAACUCUUUACCAAACAAUACCGAAUAAACUUGUUCACGAAUUAUUUUUUGAAUAUGAGUUUUAAAAUUUGAUCUAAUUCAAUUCAAAAUUUUAUUUUAUUAAUAAAAAUUAUUUUUAUUUUAUUUAUUAAAAAUAUAUUUAGAAAUAAUAAAAUUUUCAUAUUUUUUAUAUAUUAAAUAUAUUCCAAUAUAUUUUUAAAACAAAUUUAAACUUUUCAUAUAUGAUGAAUUUGAUCGAAUUUUAAACAAAACUUCUUAAUAAUCGAUUGGAUUUGACUUAAUUUGACUCAACCCAUAAAUAAAUUUAUUAGUAAGCUAUACACAAAUUAUAAAUCAAUACAAAAAAUAUAAAAUAAUUUGUUUCCUAAUUUAAUAUGUCACGAGAACAAUUUAAUUUUAAAAAUAUUUAGCUUUCAAAACUUUUUUGAUAGUAGAGAUAAUAAUGAAUUCAAACUUGAAGAGUUUUAUGUCAUUCAUUUUCAUUUAUAAGUGAUGCUUUUUGUACUAUUAAAAAACAUUUAUCUUUUUUUUUUUAAUUUUUUAUACCGAAUAUAAAGAAAAAAAAUUCCUUUCUAUUCUAUUUUUUUUUUUUAAUUUGGUUGUUCAUUAUAUUUUCUUUCAUUUUCAGUUUUCACCGAACAUAAUGUUUAAGAGUACUAAAUAAAAUGAUUUAUUUAAAAAUAAUAAUUGGUCGCGAAAAGCUUAAUUAAUACAUUUGGACAUGUGAUAAUUUUUGUUGCAAUGUAAGCCUCAAAUUUCACAUUGAAAGAGAUUAUUUAGUAUAUCACCUUUUUAGGCUUUGAUUGUUUGAUGCUUUCAAAUUUGCUUUUUAUUUUUUUCCAAUAAAAAUAAAAACAACAUACAAAAAACAAAAAAAAAAUAUAAAAUAAAAAAAAGUAAAAAAUAAAAACACAAACCAAAGAAAAAAUUAAUUUAUUCAUUAUUUUGGUCAAAUUAAUUAAUUAAUUCAUACUCAUAAUAUUAUUGUAAAAGCAUGAUUAAUUUCAAUUAAAAAUAUAAAUUUUUAAUUAGGUGUCAUAUUAGAUGCAAACUUAAAUUAAUGAAACACGGUCAACAAUAUUCAUUGGUUAUCAAUUAAAUUAAAAAUUUAUAUAUAGAUAUUAUACAUUAUAUUACAAGUUCCCAAUUUAUUAAUGAAUAAAAUUAAAACUUAAAGACUUUAAAAGUUAUAUAUCAUAAUAAAUAAAAUUAAAAUAUAUUUUAAAACUUUAAAAAUUUAAAUUUAUUAAUAAAUAAAUAAAAACUUGUAUGCAUGAAAAUAUUAAAUAUAAACCUUUAACUUAAAUCUUGCAUGCUUUUUCAUCCAAAGAAAAAAUUAAGAUCUUUUGGGCCCAAAAAUGUCUGAAUCUAAGAUCUUUGGGGCUGGGUCUGUCGGAUUAAAGGCCCAAAGUCAUUGGUAUUUCAUUUUACUAAAUAGCGUAUUUGAUGACAUGGCAUAAGUUUACUGGCCAAUAUCCUUAUUGUAGCAGACACUGCGUACAUUUGACCGCACUAAAUCAUACUUCUAAUAGUAUUGAAAACCCUAGCAACCUCAUUAUUAUAUAAAACAUAUUUCUUCUCCAUUUUGCGGCUCAUAGAGUGAAAGGAACGGAGAGAAGCUCUAAGGUGAAAAUAAUGGUGUCCGGAUCAGGGGUAUGCGCGAAAAGAGUGGUGGUGGAUGCCCGCCACCACAUGCUGGGAAGGUUGGCUUCAAUCGUGGCGAAGGAGCUGCUCAAUGGCCAAAAAGUAGUGGUAGUCAGAUGUGAGGAAAUUUGCAUGUCAGGCGGACUCGUUCGCCAGAAGAUGAAGUACAUGAGAUUCCUCCGCAAACGCAUGAACACCAAGCCUUCACAUGGUCCCAUUCACUUCCGUGCCCCGGCCAAGAUCUUCUGGCGCACCGUUCGUGGGUCUGUUUUAACUUUCUCUCUCUCUUUCUAUGGUUUUUUUUUUUCUUUCCGUCUGAUUUUAGAAAAUCAGGAGCUAAAGUGAAAUGGGUUUGUCGAGAUUUAUGUCUUAUUUGUUUAAACGGUGAAGUAAUGAGGCUAAACUCAAAUAGUUAAAUGCCUGCGUUUUGAACGCUAAGUAGAAAUUUUUUUUGAUUUUGAUGAGAUUUAAUGGUUACUGAUUUUUGCAGAAUGAUACCACAUAAGACUAAGCGUGGAGCAGCUGCUCUUGCUCGUUUGAAGGCUUAUGAGGGUAUUCCUAGUCCAUAUGAUAAGAUUAAGAGGAUGGUCAUCCCUGAUGCUCUUAAGUAAGUUUCUCUACUGUCCUUCAUUUUCAUUAUAAUGUAAUCCUCUGAUUUUCGUUAUAAUCUUUACUGUUAUCUUUAAAUGUAAUUAGGGUCUUGAGGCUUCAGAAGGGGCACAAGUACUGCUUGUUGGGCCGCUUGUCAUCAGAGGUUGGAUGGAACCAUUACGACACCAUCAGGGUGAGUUUAUGUUAUCAUUCCUUGCUUUGCUAUAGACCGUCCUUCAAUCUUUCUAUGCCCUUAUUUAUGGGAUAAGUAUUAUGUAACUUAGGGCUUAAAGUAUGACUUAAGUCUAAUGUUGGUUAACUUUGCAUUUGCUUGUCAGCAUAUAUUACUUGCUUGUUUAGUUGUUGAGCAAAACAUUCAAUCGAUUUAUUUUCUUUUCCACUCUCUUCUGUUUUAGGACUUGGGCAUGUGUAUUCUUUUUGGUAAUGUAUUCUUUUUAGUAAGGGUGUGUAUGUGAAAUGUUGCAGAGAGGAAUUGGUAAUGUAUUAGCAUGUUAAAAGCUGUAUGAAUUCAGCUUUACUGAUUUCUUAUUAAAAUUUUACUUGCAUUGAGUAAAAAGGUCAGGAAUUCUGCCCUUGAUUCCUCUUGUUACGUUACUACUUUACCAUUUUGGGGAUCUGAUUGGGUUUUGAUUUAAUCAUCCUUUCUUUGUUAAUGGUAAGAAAUAUGCAAGUGUUGUGAGUGUUGAGAUCAAUGUGGAAACAUGGCAAUGACAUGCAGAUUGAAUUGUCAAUAUAUGUUAUUCAUGUGAAGUGCCCUUAAUUAUGUACUGAGCUAUCUCUUGAGAUUUACUACCGAGUCAUUCUUUUAAACCUUGAAGAUGUGAAAUUAAUAGAUGAUAAUUCCAUUCAAAUUUUGUUUGUAAUUAUACUGUGGACUCCAGGAGCUGGAGAAGAAGAGGAAGGAGAGGGCUCAGGUUGCAUAUGAGAGGAAAAAGCAGCUGAACAAGCUUAGGAUAAAGGCUGAGACAGCUGCGGAGGAGAAACUUGGCUCUCAACUAGACAUCCUUGCCCCUGUUAAGUACUGAAUUUCUAGUGGCUAGCUAGUUUCCUACAAUUUUGUUAAGGUUAGUUGUAUGGUUUUGGUUUCUGUUUUAUUCUGUUCUGAGAUUUGGAGGCUGGAAAUUUGUUGAAUCUUGAGUUGUCCUGUUUCUUAUUUUGGCCAUAGGAUUCUUUGAAUAUAUUUCAGAUAUGCACUAUCAUGGUUUCAUGCAUUAACCACUUAAUGUUGUGUUUGCUAUUCAAAUUUAUAUGCUGUGAACAUUGAUAUGGAUGUGUACGGGUUCAUUGCAAUACCGAGUUUGAAAAAAAACCAUAGGCAGUAUAUAAAUCAUGGUUUGUUAUCAAUUUCCGGUUCCUAAGGAGUGCAAUGUUGCUGUGCAGUCUGUGCUGGUCUAAAUUCGAUUUUCCCUUCCUAAACGAUCACUCCCUGGCACUUGCCAGGAGUUGGGAAAUCAGACACCGAAACUGGAGUAUUGUUGUGGUGAAAGAAAGGGAAACUAACUUUAAAAAAAGCUAAAUUAUAGUUUAAUAACAGUUCACAAAUCUUUUCAAUUCUGCUAUACAGAUUUAACAGGUGCAAACGUGACAGAAUUUCCUUAUUUUGUGAGAACAGAUCUCUGAAUCAAAGACGUACUCUGAUGAGAAAACUCAAGUGGAAAGCUUUUGCUUAUUUGAUCCCAGACUUAGAAGAAAUUAGUUGACAUUUUUGUAAGGAAAAAUUGAUGGUAGAAGUUCUUGAAAGCACUGUUCCUUUACAGUCUCAUUACAAAUAUCAUAUUGAAAUGUCAAUUGUUAAGGUUGAUAUUUCCUUUAUGUGACAUCUGAAUAAAUUCAAUUUUAGGAACCAAAUUAGACUAGAACGGCUGCAAAUUGCUAAUGAAAAAAGCUUAUAAAAUCAAUGGUAGACAGAAUUACAGAAUGUUUUAUAAAGGAAGAAGAUUCUCAUCCAGUUCAUUCAUUGCCUUUCGUCUUUGCUUUAUCCUCUUCUCAUUGCUGUCAUGAACCUUAUAUAGUCAUACUGUGCACGAAGUUUAAGUCGGUUAUCAUGUCUGAUUUCAUAUCUACCUUUAGCUCAGACAUUUUUUUGCAUGUGCAUCGCUAAAAUCUUGGUAAAUAAAAUAUCUAUCAUUAGUUUAGUGCUCUCAGAGGUUUUGUUGGAAGAAAAAGUCUUGUUGAUACAGUGAUGUUAGUUCAAGAAAAUAGAAAUAGUUAAAGCUACCACAAGAACCUUUAGCAAAUAGAUCAUAAGCCUAAGUAGGAUGCUUAUUAGAAACUGGAAUUUGGAGCAAGAUAUGCUUGUCUAAAGAUUACUUCUUUUGCCAACAGUCAUGUGUAAAGUGUUGGAUUUUUAUUUCCAAUAAAAAAAAAUUGAUAAUUUAAAUGCAAAAAAAAAAGAAGACCUUUUUGUUGUUAUUAUGUCUGUUCAAUUAAAUGUGCUUGAUAGUGCAGAUGUUUUCAUUCUAAUAGAUUUGCAUAUUUCUUUGAAUGAAUAAAGUAUCAUUUAUUCAAAAAAAAAGUUCAAAUAAGGACUAGUAUAAAAAUCAGAGUACCUGUAUAUGAUUCUCUUCCUACAGGAGGAAUUAAGAUUUGGGUCAGCAAGUUGCCAAAAGUAACAUCUAAAAUAAUCUCAUCCUAUACAUCAAAGGACCUUCUUUUACUCCUCUUUUUUCCAAACAAGUAAUGCAAUACCUGAGCAGUCUUCUGUUGGUUUCAUGCAUUGCCCCCAUUUUGACAUGCAAGAUGUUACAUUUUUGUUUAAAAUUUUACGGAUUAUGGGGAACUGAAAACAUGAAUAUCUUGGUAAUGAAAUUUGCUCUGGCGGGAAAGAAAGGACAAAAGGCUUCGUCACCCUGGACCCCAAGUGCCAAACCUGGGAAGUCCGGGGUUGAAGUCUUAAAAUCUUUCAUUGGUAUCACAAAGUUACUAUUUUUUUUCUCCUGUUUGAUUCAACUUGUUCAGUUAAGUAGGUUGACUUUUUUGUUUAUCAUGUUCUGAUAAGACGAUCAACUCUCAACCUGAAAAUUGUUAAUUGGAAAGUUCAUCCAUUGAUCAGAUUCUAAUCAUAUUCAAGCUCGAUAAAAUGACCCUUUUGGCUAUUGCAACAAUAAUCUGUCUUUGCCAGCGAAGCCUUCUUCAAAUAUUAAAGAAUUCUAAUUAACAAUUGUUUUAUUGAUCUGAUGUUGUAUGUUGAGAACUUAAAAGUAGGGGUAAAAACAGACAGCGUCGACAGCAGGGUUCGAACCUGCGCGGGCGAUGCCCAACAGAUUUCAAGUCUGUCUCCUUAACCACUCGGACAUAUCGACCUUAGUGCAAUAAAAAUUUAACUCAAAUCAAUCAACUGAACUAAAUUAUUGCCUCGUUUGAUUUGCCUCUCAACCCUGAAGAGUGGAGAGGGUACCUAACUACAAAGAUAAAUUUCUGUGGUCCAGUACUAAAGGUCUUCAUUGGGGUCACCAUGGUUUAGCUUCUCGGCUAGAUUAUUUUCUCCUCAAGUCUUUUCCUAACUAAUCAUGAUCAUCAUUUCAUUGAGCAUCCAACUUGACAUUCUUUGGUCUUUCACUAGUUGCCCUACAUGUAAACAAAGUUCAAACUUAGAGGGGAAACAAAAGAAAUAAAGAAAAGGAAAAUGGAAAAUAGAGGCACUUGCCUUAAUCUAAAAGUAAAUUGAACUCUAAAUCUAAACCUUUCAUCAUAGCCGGUGCAAAUCUAACUUUCGGCAAUCAUACACUCUUCCACUCUCAAGAAAAAAAAAAGAAAAAGUUUCACCAUCUAUAUGCAUUUGUUAUGCAUGUCAUUGGUGCAUUUGUUUUUUCCAGGUUCCUUUAAAACUGUCAAAUUAUUGACUUUGGGCUUCUUGGAAGAAGAAAGUAGGUUUUCUUUAUCAAGAAGAUACAUUUUUUGGAGUGAGAAUUCAUUUGCAAGCAAAGCUGGAACCACAAAGUAUCAUUGUGUUGAUGCGGGUCCGGCAAGCAUCCUUUGCAGCAAUAUCCACCAAUUUAUAUUAAUUCAACAGCUGCUGUUUUGCUUUAACACUUCAACACAUGAAUGCAGUCAAGUCUCUGGCCCCAAUAUAUAUUUUAUUAAAUUAUUGUCAAUUGAAGACCAAAAAAAUUUUGAAAUCAAAGAUCAUAAAAUCUUUGUAAUAUUUGGAAGUGGCUAGCCUUGUUCCUUUUCUUCUUCUCUUCUUAUUUUAAAAUCUUUCAUUAUAUUUAUUAAGUAGGUUAUUUGCUGAUGUAAAUUUAUGAGGGAAUGCAAAUAUUUUCUUGGAUGGAAAACAAAAAAGUUUGCAUGUAUUUCAAAAUGACAUAAUCUUUUCAAUUUUAAAAUUUAAGACAUCUCAAAUAAUGUCCGAACAUUCGAUUCAAUAAUUGUUAUAUAAUUUUUUUCCCUCCCGUUUCAUUCUAAUGUCAAUUGCCUGAAGUUAAACUAAAAAUCAGACUAGGUGGCUCUUGAACAUUUUCUUUGGGUAAUAUAGGUAGGGUUUUUUAGACAUAAUACUUAUAUCAGAAGACACGCUCCCACGUCGGUUUUAAUUUAUAAAUUCAAAGUUUAUUGUCAAGAUAUACUCUCAUAAAUAUCGAAUUUGAUCACAUAUAAAGAAAUCCCUUUUAACAUUUCCUGUGGACAAAAUGAAAUACAAGCAAACACAGAAAUAUAGAAGUAAGGAGAUAUAAGAGGAGUUCGUUAACUGACAUCAUUUUCAUGCUUUUCCACUUUUAAGUUGAAAUUUUAACGACUUUGGUCCACAAGGAGAGAGAGAGAGAGGAAGUGGCACUUUUGUUCUUGCUCUUUGAGCUGCUUUUCAACUACUGCUACAAUAGCAGUGAUGGUGGCAGUAGUAGUGGUGUUAGAGUGCCUGUAUAUAAAAGCAAACAAUUAUCAUCACCAAACCAGAACCAUUAUAAUGAAUGCCAUUCUUGCUGCCCCUUAAUCAUCAUCACCUGUCUCUUUAAUCCUUGCAUUACUUGCACUCCUCAUUAUUCAAUCACUUUCUCUCUUCAACUUCUUACAUUUACACCCCAGCAAUGAGGCAAAUUUAAUAAUUACCCUUUAAUCCCACUCCGUUAACGUUUCAUUCAGGACUUAAGGGAGUCUACUCUGUUUCUACUAAGAAAAUCUCUCCAUUUCUUUGAAUAGAUAUUCCUUUGUUUUUGUGGGUAGGGAGGUUACUAGUGGACUCUAUGGCCCUGAAGUGCUUCUGGGUCUGCUUGAUUUUGUUCUAUGGCUUUUGGGUAGCUGUUUUCUGUGAUCAAGACGGUAUGUCCAAUUUGCUUUUAUCCUUUUGGUUCUUCUGAAGUGUAUUGUCUGGAAGCUCUUUUUUUGCUUGUGUAAAGUUAAGGUGAAUUUGAUCCAAAAAAAAUUUUUUUGGUUGCUUGGAAUAACAGAAUUUGAAAUUAUGGUUCUGUUUUAGGUAAAUGAUGAAAAAAGCAGUUCACAUUGCCCUGUUAGCUACAUUUGCCUUGGUUCUUACCACGAUGUGCGAAAUUUACAAUUCAAGUUCUUUUUUUGUUUUUAAAGCUCUGAUCUUCAAAUCACUAUGGAACAACCUGCUCUAACAAAAUCUCAAAAACAGAAUGUUGAGGCUUUGAACUUUGUCUUAAUUUGCAUUUGAAUUCUAUGGGAUAGGUUUCUUGAGCUUAUCUUGUGGUGGAGCUAGGAGUUUUGUUGAUUCAUCAAAGAUAACAUGGGUCUCGGAUGAUACAUUCAUUAGCACAGGCAACACAACCACCGUUGAGUAUGUUGAGGGUAGCUCCUCAUCCAGUGUUCCACUUCGAUUUUUCCCAGAAUCUCAAGGCCGCAAUUGUUAUAAGUUACCAGUAGAGAAUAUAUCAUCCAUAAUUCUUGUGAGAGCCCAAUUUGUGUAUAAGAACUAUGACAGACUUUGGAAACCUCCAGCUUUCUCUGUUUCUCUAGGGACAGCUAUCACUAGUACUGUGAACCUAACCAACAAAGAUCCAUGGACUGAAGAGUUCAUAUGGCCAGUGAGUAAGGAAACAGUCUCAUUUUGCUUGCUUGCUAUUCCGGACUGCGGAUCUCCCGUUAUUUCUUCACUUGAAGUACGGCCACUUCCUCAAGGCGCUUACCAAAGUGGCAUGGAAGAUUUCCCAAAUACGUCACUUCGUAAGUGUUAUCGAAUUAAUAGUGGUUACUCCAAUGGAUCGCUGAGGUAAGAAUAUUUAACAACCCUUCCCUGUAAAUGGCUUCUGCCCUCUGUCAGGACGUUUGUGAUUAACUUCAGUUAGAACAGGUAUCCUGUAGAUCCAUUUGACCGCAUUUGGGAUGCUGAUCGAAGUUACACACCCUUUCAUGUCUCACCUAGUUUCGACAUUCUUCUUAGCUUCAAUUUGUCGAGUCAAAGGGAGAGCCCUCCAUUGAAAGUGUUGCAGACUGCUAGAGUUCUGGUACGAGGGGACGUCUUACAUUACUACUUACCUCUUGAUACAUUAGGGGACUACUACAUUGUUCUCUAUUUUGCGGGCAUUCUUCCUGUGUCUGCUUCUUUUGAUAUACUAAUUAAUGGGGAUGUUCAGCAAUCAGAAUUUACUAUAAGAACCUCAGAAGCCAGUACUCUAUAUUUUAAGCAGAAGGGAAUGGCCAGUCUGGAUAUUGCACUUAGGAGCAUCAUAUUCUACCCUCAAAUCAGUGCAUUUGAGGUUUACGAAAUUGUCGAUAUUCCACCAGAGGCUUCCUCAACUACAGGUGGAAUUUUCUUGUGUAAAUCUAUGAGUUUUUCCUGCUGACUAAUGCUGACUCCAUUCUGCAUGACUUGCAGUUUCAGCACUUCAAGUUAUUGAGCAAUCUACUGGUUUUGAUCUUGGGUGGCAAGAUGAUCCAUGCUUCCCAACUCCAUGGGAUCAUAUUGAAUGUGAAGGAAGUAUAGUGACAUCAUUGUAUGUGCAUAUUUCAACUGUAGCUUUGGACUUUUCUGUCUUACCUUUGAGAACUACUCAUAUGGGCUUAUAAUUUUCUCUUAGGGACCUUUCGGACAUCAACUUGAGGUCAAUUAGUCCAACGUUUGGUGACUUGCUGGAUCUUAAAAUCCUGUAAAUGUCUUUGGCUGAAAAACUAGUUUCUUUUUACUCUUUAACAUUAUGGCAUCCUCAAAAUAGGUACUUCCUUGUGCUAAUAUCGGUGAUUCUAUCUUUCAGGAAUUUGCAUAACACAUCACUUUCAGGAGCAAUACAAAAUCUGGGCAGCCUGCAGCAGCUUGAGAAAUUGUAAUGUCUUUCAAAGUGUUCACCCUUUAUUAGUAUCUUCAGAUAGCAGGACUAAUAAUAUAUCUUGACUAAAUUUCUCAGGAAUCUGAGUUUCAAUCAGUUAACAUCCUUUGGUUCUGAUUUAGACAGCUUGGUUAACCUUCAAGUUCUGUAAGUUGUAGUCAAAUAUUGUUUUCUUAGGUUGUCAUACAAUAAUUUCUUUAUUGAUUUCAGAGUUUGAAGUUUUUCCACUAUAUUUCAUGAAAGGAAUAUGAUAAACGACGGUUGUACUAAUACUGCAUUAUUCUUAUUUUUCUACAUGGAGGGACUUGCAUAAUAACAGUUUACAGGGGAUAGUUCCAGACAGCUUGGGAGAGUUAAAGAAUCUACAUCUACUGUAAGUGACUUCAAUAAAUAUUGUAUCAAUUGGUGAAGAACCAAAUAUGCAGUUUCUUUGUGAUGGCCCUCUGUGUUUCACUUGAUGUAAAUCUGCGUUCUGCAUUCUUCAGGAAUCUGGAGAACAAUAAAUUGCAAGGUACCCUCCCCCUAUCUUUGAACAGAGAAAGUUUGGAAGUUAGGUAUGGCACUGAUAUUCUAGUUUUUUGUCAACCUAUUUAUUCACAUGUCCUGAUGGAUCAAUUUUUGUGCAGAACAUCAGGAAAUUUGUGCCUUUCCUUCUCGACAAUGGCAUGCAAUGAUGUCUCAUCAAACACUUCAAUUGAGACACCACAAGUUACUAUUUUUACCAAUAGGAAGCACACUCAACACACGCAUUUAGCAAUUGUACUUGGUUCAGCUGGGGGAGCCUUAUUUGCUCUACUCCUCAUUUCUCUUUUAGUAUUAUUGUACGCAAAGAAAAGGAAAACUGAAGCCACAUAUGCUACAAGUACGUAAUAGUUAUUCACAUCAUUGUUAUCUUGAAAAUUGACAACUUGAUUCUUAUGUGCACAAUAUUCUCAUAUUCAGGGGCAGCAAUUGAUAUGAGAAACUGGAAUGCAGCAAAAAUUUUUUCCUACAAAGAAAUAAAACAAGCUACAAACAACUUUAAGGAAGUCAUAGGUCGGGGUAGCUUUGGAUCUGUUUACCUUGGAAAGCUAUCAGAUGGCAAACUGGUAGCUGUAAAAGUACGGUUUGAUAGAACUCAAUUGGGUGCAGAUUCUUUUGUUAAUGAGGUUUAUCAUCUAAACUUCUCUGCAAUUUUUGUGUCUCACCUUAAUGCAAUGUAAGCUUAGUAAUUUUCUCAGUAUUCUAUUGAUGAACAUAACUGAAGACUUUAUACAGUCAUCUCUAGAUCAUUGAUUAUCUUUAAGUGUAUAUCAAUUAGACUCAUUUUUUCUUGAUCUAGAAAGAGCUGUCAGUCUGCGCUGUUAUGCAUGUACAUCUGUAGAUUAAAUCUAAAGUAAAAAAUUUAAUUCUCUAGUUUAUGUAUGAUGUUUUGCUUCAUUUUAGAUCUAAUCCUCUCAUUGGUCCUGUAAAGUUGCCUCAUCGUCCAUAAGGAUUGGCUGCAGGUUCAUCUCUUGUCACAAAUUCGUCAUCAAAAUCUUGUGUGCUUGGAAGGAUUUUGUCAUGAAUCAAAGCAUCAGAUACUAGUCUAUGAAUAUCUACCUGGUGGAUCACUGGCUGAUCACCUGUAUGGUAUGUUUUUCUUGAAUACAAGAUUUACCAUUUUCAUUUUGCAAUUUUUGUUACAUAUCCUUUAUAUCUGUUCUUCUCAUCUCCCAAAAUGCCCUGCCCUGGUUCGUUCUUAAUGUUUGUUACAGGUCCAAACAGUCAAAAAGUUUCUUUAAGCUGGGUUCGGAGACUGAAAAUAGCUGUUGAUGCUGCAAAAGGUAUGUCUAGUAUUCCGUUUCUAGCCUUCAUGUAAAGUUACUUAGGAGAGACAAGAGCUGUGCAGAUGAAAGGUUCAUGAUGUCCCAGGCACUUUAGCAAUGGAAAAGGUUUAUUUCUAUGGUUUGAAGUUUUCAUACCAGAUGAAUUAGGCUAGAUAUCAUAGCUUAUUCUUUUUCAGAAGUAAAGAUCCUUCGAUACAAUGAUGAGAUUCUGGAAUUCUAGAUAAAAGAUUUAGCCAAAUACUCUUCAUAAGAUUAUAAUAUUCCAAUACAGAAGCAGUCCUUUCAGGGAACGUGUGAGUUUCUUUAGAUAUUGAUGCCAUAUUUUUGGCAUAAUCUUCUUGUUUGCCACAAUGGUAUAGUUCAACAUCUAUUAGUGGAACUGUGGAAACACCAGGAGGUCCAAAAUUUUGGAAUAAUUACUGCUAUUAUUUUUUCUUGCCCACCAUCAUUAGCCUUUUCUUUGAAGGGCUGGACUAUUUGCAUAAUGGGAGCGAUCCAAGAAUCAUACACCGUGAUGUCAAGUGCAGUAACAUCCUUUUGGACAGUCAGAUGAAUGCCAAGGUCUGUGAUUUUGGCCUCUCUAAGCAAGUAACUCAGGCAGAUGCAACUCAUGUGACCACUGUUGUCAAGGGCACUGCUGGCUAUCUAGAUCCUGAGUAAGUCUUAGUUAAGUUUAUUUAAUUGAUGCCUUUACUGCAACGACUCAUGAUCUCUCAUGUCUUUAUCAUUGAGUGAUUUUCUCUACAGGUAUUAUUCCACCCUACAGCUGACUGAGAAAAGUGAUGUCUACAGUUUUGGGGUUGUUCUUUUAGAGCUCAUAUGUGGAAGAGAACCACUGACUCACUCCGGAACUCCAGAUUCCUUCAAUUUAGUGCUAUGGGUAACCAAAAUUUUCUUUGUCUUUUAUCUUUUUCCCGUUUCUUCUGUAUCUUAGCUAUAAAACGGUGCAUGAAGGUUUGAUCUUGUUACAUCACAUAUAUGUUUUUUAUUCUUUUAUAAAAAAUAAAAGAAAUAGAGAAGGAAUUUAAAACUGUGAAUAGUUUCACAAUUGCUUUUUCUUCACAGGAAUUUAUACAUUUCAUUGUCACUCAGGUGUUCACAAGGUCAAAUUGUUUGCUUCUAAUGAAGCAUACAAUUCACCGGGGGACAUACUUGUCUCAGCAUUUGUCAACCAGUAGUUUACAUUUUGUAAAAGUACUUGCUUCUUAAUUGUUCAUUAUAAUUCAAAUCCUGCACAUUUUCAGCAUGAUUGCUGAGGCAUCAAGGAUUUAAGAUGACAAAUUAGUU